rnacentral:tRNA from 1 species
AAAGUCUUAUUUCAHUUAUGAUUAUAAAUUGCAAAUUUAUAGGUGAAUACAUUUCUAAGGCUU